rnacentral:rRNA from 1 species
UACGAAGGGGGCUAGCGUUGCUCGGAAUUACUGGGCGUAAAGGGCGCGUAGGCGGACAUUUAAGUCGGGGGGUGAAAGGCCCAGGGCUCAACCCUGGAAUUGCCUUCGAUACUGGAUGUCUUGAGUUCGGGAGAGGUGGAGUGGAAUGCCGAGUGUAGAGGUGAAAAUUCGUAGAUAUUCGCAAGAACACCAGUGGCGAAGGCGGCUCACUGGCCCGGAACUGACGCUGAGGCGCGAAAGCGUGGG